rnacentral:rRNA from 1 species
ACGCCUAAUACAUGCAAGUCGAACGAAGUAGCAAUACUUAGUGGCAGACGGGUGAGUAACAUGUGGGUAUCUUCCCUUUGGUGAGGAAUAACACGAGGAAACUUGUGCUAAUACCUCAUAAGUCUUUACAGAGAAAGCUUUAUGCGCCAUUGGAUGAGCCCGCACUUGAUUAGUUUGUUGGUGGGGUAAUGGCCUACCAAGACAAUGAUCAAUAGCUGAUUUGAGAGGAUGAUCAGCCACAUUGGGACUGAGACACGGCCCAAACUCCUACGGGAGGCAGCAGUAGGGAAUCUUGCACAAUGGAGGAAACUCUGAUGCAGCGAUGCCGCGUGAGUGAAGAAGGCCUUUGGGUUGUAAAGCUCUUUCGUCGGGGAAGAAAAUGACUGUACCCGAAUAAGAAGGUCCGGCUAACUUCGUGCCAGCAGCCGCGGUAAUACGAAGGGACCUAGCGUAGUUCGGAAUUACUGGGCUUAAAGAGUUCGUAGGUGGUUAAAAAAGUUGAUGGUGAAAUCCCAGAGCUUAACUCUGGAACUGCCAUCAAAACUUUUUAGCUAGAGUAUGAUAGAGGAAAGCAGAAUUUCUAGUGUAGAGGUGAAAUUCGUAGAUAUUAGAAAGAAUACCAAUUGCGAAGGCAGCUUUCUGGAUCAUUACUGACACUGAGGAACGAAAGCAUGGGUAGCGAAGAGGAUUAGAUACCCUCGUAGUCCAUGCCGUAAACGAUGUGUGUUAGACGUUGGGAAUUUAUUUUCAGUGUCGCAGUGAAAACAAUAAACACACCGCCUGGGGAG